GGGUUGUGAGGUUAAGCGACUAAGCGUACACGGUGGAUGCCCUGGCAGUCAGAGGCGAUGAAGGACGUGCUAAUCUGCGAAAAGCGUCGGUAAGGUGAUAUGAACCGUUAUAGCCGGCGAUGUCCGAAUGGGGAAACCCAGUGCAAUUCGUUGCACUAUCGUUAACUGAAUACAUAGGUUAACGAGGCGAACCGGGGGAACUGAAACAUCUAAGUACCCCGAGGAAAAGAAAUCAACCGAGAUUCCCCCAGUAGCGGCGAGCGAACGGGGAGCAGCCCAGAGUCUGAAUCAGCUUGUGUGUUAGUGGAACGGUCUGGAAAGUCCGACGGUACAGGGUGAUAGUCCCGUACACCAAAAUGCACAGGUUGUGAACUCGAAGAGUAGGGCGGGACACGUGGUAUCCUGUCUGAAUAUGGGGGGACCAUCCUCCAAGGCUAAAUACUCCUGACUGACCGAUAGUGAACCAGUACCGUGAGGGAAAGGCGAAAAGAACCCCGGCGAGGGGAGUGAAAAAGAACCUGAAACCGUGUACGUACAAGCAGUGGGAGCACCUUCGGGUGUGACUGCGUACCUUUUGUAUAAUGGGUCAGCGACUUAUAUUCUGUAGCAAGGUUAACCGUAUAGGGGAGCCGCAGGGAAACCGAGUCUUAACUGGGCGUUAAGUUGCAGGGUAUAGACCCGAAACCCGGUGAUCUAGCCAUGGGCAGGUUGAAGGUUGGGUAACACUAACUGGAGGACCGAACCGACUAAUGUUGAAAAAUUAGCGGAUGACUUGUGGCUGGGGGUGAAAGGCCAAUCAAACCGGGAGAUAGCUGGUUCUCCCCGAAAGCUAUUUAGGUAGCGCCUCGUGAACUCAUCUUCGGGGGUAGAGCACUGUUUCGGCUAGGGGGUCAUCCCGACUUACCAACCCGAUGCAAACUACGAAUACCGAAGAAUGUUAUCACGGGAGACACACGGCGGGUGCUAACGUCCGUCGUGAAGAGGGAAACAACCCAGACCGCCAGCUAAGGUCCCAAAGUCAUGGUUAAGUGGGAAACGAUGUGGGAAGGCACAGACAGCCAGGAUGUUGGCUUAGAAGCAGCCAUCAUUUAAAGAAAGCGUAAUAGCUCACUGGUCGAGUCGGCCUGCGCGGAAGAUGUAACGGGGCUAAACCAUGCACCGAAGCUGCGGCAGCGACACUAUGUGUUGUUGGGUAGGGGAGCGUUCUGUAAGCCUGCGAAGGUGUGCUGUGAGGCAUGCUGGAGGUAUCAGAAGUGCGAAUGCUGACAUAAGUAACGAUAAAGCGGGUGAAAAGCCCGCUCGCCGGAAGACCAAGGGUUCCUGUCCAACGUUAAUCGGGGCAGGGUGAGUCGACCCCUAAGGCGAGGCCGAAAGGCGUAGUCGAUGGGAAACAGGUUAAUAUUCCUGUACUUGGUGUUACUGCGAAGGGGGGACGGAGAAGGCUAUGUUAGCCGGGCGACGGUUGUCCCGGUUUAAGCAUGUAGGCUGGUUGUCCAGGCAAAUCCGGAUAAUCAAGGCUGAGGUGUGAUGACGAGGCACUACGGUGCUGAAGUAACAAAUGCCCUGCUUCCAGGAAAAGCCUCUAAGCAUCAGGUAACAUUAAAUCGUACCCCAAACCGACACAGGUGGUCAGGUAGAGAAUACCAAGGCGCUUGAGAGAACUCGGGUGAAGGAACUAGGCAAAAUGGUGCCGUAACUUCGGGAGAAGGCACGCUGGUGUGUAGGUGAAGCCCCUGCGGGUGGAGCUGAGACCAGUCGAAGAUACCAGCUGGCUGCAACUGUUUAUUAAAAACACAGCACUGUGCAAACACGAAAGUGGACGUAUACGGUGUGACGCCUGCCCGGUGCCGGAAGGUUAAUUGAUGGGGUUAUCCGUAAGGAGAAGCUCUUGAUCGAAGCCCCGGUAAACGGCGGCCGUAACUAUAACGGUCCUAAGGUAGCGAAAUUCCUUGUCGGGUAAGUUCCGACCUGCACGAAUGGCGUAAUGAUGGCCAGGCUGUCUCCACCCGAGACUCAGUGAAAUUGAACUCGCUGUGAAGAUGCAGUGUACCCGCGGCAAGACGGAAAGACCCCGUGAACCUUUACUAUAGCUUGACACUGAACAUUGAGCCUUGAUGUGUAGGAUAGGUGGGAGGCUUUGAAGCGUGGACGCCAGUCUGCGUGGAGCCAACCUUGAAAUACCACCCUUUAAUGUUUGAUGUUCUAACGUUGGCCCCUUACCGGGGUUGCGGACAGUGUCUGGUGGGUAGUUUGACUGGGGCGGUCUCCUCCCAAAGCGUAACGGAGGAGCACGAAGGUUAGCUAAUCCUGGUCGGACAUCAGGAGGUUAGUGCAAUGGCAUAAGCUAGCUUGACUGCGAGCGUGACGGCGCGAGCAGGUGCGAAAGCAGGUCAUAGUGAUCCGGUGGUUCUGAAUGGAAGGGCCAUCGCUCAACGGAUAAAAGGUACUCCGGGGAUAACAGGCUGAUACCGCCCAAGAGUUCAUAUCGACGGCGGUGUUUGGCACCUCGAUGUCGGCUCAUCACAUCCUGGGGCUGAAGUAGGUCCCAAGGGUAUGGCUGUUCGCCAUUUAAAGUGGUACGCGAGCUGGGUUUAGAACGUCGUGAGACAGUUCGGUCCCUAUCUGCCGUGGGCGCUGGAGAAUUGAGGGGGGCUGCUCCUAGUACGAGAGGACCGGAGUGGACGCAUCACUGGUGUUCGGGUUGUCAUGCCAAUGGCACUGCCCGGUAGCUAAAUGCGGAAGAGAUAAGUGCUGAAAGCAUCUAAGCACGAAACUUGCCCCGAGAUGAGUUCUCCCUGAGACUUUAAGUCUCCUGAAGGAACGUUAAAGACGAUGACGUUGAUAGGCCGGGUGUGUAAGCGCAGCGAUGCGUUGAGCUAACCGGUACUAAUGAACCGUGAGGCUUAACCUUACAACGCCGAAG
rnacentral:rRNA from 1 species